CCCACGUGCCUACAAUCAGCCCCAGUCUCCCUGGGAAACAGACGGGCGCACCUGAGCUGGGUUCUGAGCUCCAGCGUUUGGGGUUAGAAGUUGCGGACUGGUAGCUGAGGCGGCACGGGAGUGUAGGCGCCCGGGGUCGUUGCCGGGGGGCACAACGUGAGAACAAGCAAGGGAGCCCUGCUGAAUUGCAGUUUUUGGAAGCCCUGAAUCCUGGAGCAUGAAGGCAGUGAGGGGCUGUGGUGUGAUCCAGGAGGCUGAGAAUUAUGCAGUGGGUGCUGUCACCUUGAAGGCAUCAGCGCGAUCAGGCAGAUCAUCAUGCAGGAUGCUGUGCCAAAUCAUCUCAGCAAGAGGUCUCUACAUCACGAUGUUGGCAAAGAUAUUGGAGUGGGUGAAGAGACCCUCUUAUUACCGUUUCUGGGCCCAAUUUUCUCACAAUGAAGCUGCACAAGAUGAUCUCUAAGGUACUGCAUUUCCUGGACACGAUCUUAAUUUUCUUAAUACCUCCAUCAACAUUUCAAGUAGCGUCUCUAAUGCCCCAGAGAUUUUUAUGCCCCUAAGGUAGUUUUCUUUCUUUUGUGAAGCAGAAGAAGGGAAAUUGUUAAAGGGAAUUAUUUUAACUAAAUCUAUUUCCAUGAAACUAUCUUUGUCUUUAUAUCCCAUGGAAAGUGUUAGGUAGCCUCAGGAUUAUAUCUCAGUUGGAAAAUUGUAGACGUAAACCUUCUUGUUAUCUACGUACUUAUAUAUUUUUCUGUUGUUAUUUACUUAUGAAUAGCAUUUUGAUUACAGCAGAAAUAAAAUACAUUAAAUGACUAAGCUCAGAAAUAAGAAAAAAAGGUCAAUGAUGAUCAUUU